GAAAGGUGAUCUGGCUGUGACAUCUGUUACCCCAUUAAUUAUCAGGGUUGAUUCAGCUCAUCUGGCUAGCUAGGCAGGUGUCCACUUCCUCCUUCAAUGCUCCAUGUGUAUCCCUCCCGAAGCUGAAUGAUCUGUUAAAGAGGAUGACCUUCCCCAAAUAGAAGAGGACCUGUCUUUGGUCAAGGUUAUAGGAGUAGCUGUACUUCCUUACUAGAAUAGAGAUACUUUUUAACUUCCUCCUUUCUGAUUUGUAGAUUUGUAUCCCUUUGAAGAUGC
rnacentral:snRNA from 1 species